rnacentral:rRNA from 1 species
AUGGCGGAGGACGGCGAGGAGAAGCUGCUCGCGACGGUGCAGCACAUCGUGCAGACGCUCGGGAGCAGCGACACCAUGACGGAGGACAUCCUCAAGGUCUUCUCCAACUACGACGGCCGCCUGUCGCUCGACAAGAUCUACGCCGCGCGCGGCGCCGUGGCGGCCGCGGCGGGCGGCGGCGGGGGAGGUGGGGGCGGAGGGGAGCGCUCGAUGCCGGCGUCGCCGCCGCUGCCCCCGCCGCCCGCGGCCGCCGUGCCGGGCUCCUCCGCGAGGCCGCCCGUCACCUCCAUGGAGCGGACCGUGCGCACGCUCGACCGCCAGAUCUCGCAGUUCGUCACCAUGGACCGGCUGAUCUGGGCCGACUCGGGCGACGCCGACGCCUUCCUCGAGGCCGUCGACGACCUCAUCGGCACCGUGCAGGAGCUGGACGCCGCGGGGACCAACCGCGUGCUGCUCGACCGCGCCGACGAGCUGCUCAGCCGGUGCAUGGCGCGGCUGGAGGACGAGUUCCGGGCGCUCAUCGAGCGCCCCGACGAGGCGGCCCCCUCGGCGCCCGGCGGGUUCGCUUCCGACGGCAGCGACGACGAGGAGUUCUACGGCGGCGCGGACGGCUACGGCGACGAGCCCAUCCCGAUCGCCAAGCCCGUCACCGACUACGACGUCGUCAUCGACGCGCUCUCGCCGGGCUCCAUUGCCAACGUGCACCAGAUCUCGCGCCGGAUGGUGGACGCCGGCUUCGGCCGGGAGUGCGCCGAGGCCUACGCCGCCGCGCGGCGCGGCUUCGUCGACGAGAGCGUCGCGCGUCUCGGCGUCCGGCCGCGCACCGCCGAAGAGGUCCACGCCUCCCCCUGGGAGGAGCUGGAGUUCGACAUCGCCCGCUGGAUCCCAGCCUUCAACAUGGUCUUCCGCAUUCUGAUCCCCAGCGAGCGCCGCCUAUGCGACCGUGUCUUCGACGGUCUCGCCCCCUUCGGCGACCUCGCCUUUAUUGCUGCCGUGCGCACUCAGGCGCUGCAGCUCAUAUCAUUCGGCGACGCCAUUUCUUCCUCCAGCCGCUCGCCGGAGCGCCUCUUCCGUGUGGUGGACAUGUAUGAGGCCGUGCGGGACAUCCUCCCGGACCUUGACCCUGUGUUCUCGGACCCUUACUCCGCCGCACUCCGCGCAGAGGUCUCUGCAGUGUGCAACACCCUUGGUUCCUCAAUCAAAGGUAUAUUCAUGGAAUUGGAAAAUCUCAUCCGCCGGGACCCUGCCCGGGUUGCCACACCUGGUGGUGGCAUACACCCCAUCACUCGGUAUGUCAUGAACUAUCUCCGUGCUGCAUGCGGUUCGCGGCAGACAUUGGAAGAGGUGAUGGAAGGCGACCUUGGUGCUGGCGGUAGAGCUUCUGCUGCCGUGGACCCUGACCGCCCCACGUCUUCACUUGCUGUGCACAUCGCAUGGAUCAUGGACGUUCUGCACAAGAAUUUGGAUGCAAAAUCUAAGAUUUACCGAGAUCCCUCACUGGCUUGCAUCUUCUUGAUGAACAAUGGCAAGUACAUUAUCCAGAAAGUGAAUGACAGCGAGCUAGGUGUUCUACUCGGCGAUGACUGGAUCAAGCAGUUGUCAACUAGAGUGCGUCGCUGGAGCAUGGAUUAUCAGCGUUCAACAUGGGGCAAGGUUACAACUGUGCUGCAGAUUGGUGGUUCUGGUGUUGGUGCACUCCCAGCCAAGGCAAUGCUGCAGAAAUUGCGGAUGUUUAAUACCUACUUUGAGGAGAUCUAUGCAGUACAAUCAGAGUGGGUGGUAGCUGAUGAUCAGUUGCGAAUGGACGUUAGGGCAGCAGUGGAGGAUUCAGUGAUGCCAGCAUAUGCGGCUUUGAUUAACAGGUUAAAAUCAGCUCCUGAAACUGGACGUGACUUGUACAUCAAGUACACCCCAGAAGAUGUCGAGGCACAUAUCCAGCACUUGUUUGAAGGAGCAGCAAAGUGA